CCUUUUUCAAAUUUCAGAUUUUUCUCACUUUUUUUGUUUUAAUUGUUAUUGCUAAAUUCAUGAACAAUAGCAGGAGACUUGUUUGUUUAUGUGGGGCUCCUCCAAUUCUGAAAAUUUCAUGGACAAAUGACAAUCCCGGACGUAGAUUUUUCGGUUGUAGACACUAUGGGUCCUCAUUUCGAAAUUCUUGUAAGUUUUUCGAUUGGUAUGAUCCUGAAUUUCCGACCCAAGCGAAUAUUGUAAUUUUGGGUUUGUUGAAGAAAACCAACAAACAAGAAGAACAGCUCAAGUGCAAAUGGAUAUUGAAACUGAUUUUGGGUAUUAGUUUGAUAUGCAAUGUGAUAUUGUUCUUUUAUUUAGUGUGUUGUUGAAUUUUUUUUUAAUGGAAUUGUUAUUAGUUUGGUUUGGUGUUCCUUGUUCAACAGAACUAGGAACUCAUUUUGUGGAUUAGUUUGGUUUGGUAUUCUAUUAAUGUAUGUUUUUGCUGUUUUUGCUGAUCAAUACAAUUACAUGUAAUGGGUACUAUGAUACCAUGAAAUAAUAACAUGAAGGCAACAAACAUAACAUAA